UACAGAGGUCUCAAGCGUUGUUCGGAUUCAUUGGGCGUAAAGGGUGCGUAGGCGGCGCGGUAAGUCGGGUGUGAAAUCUUGGAGCUUAACUCCGAAACUGCACUUGAUACUGCCUUGCUCGAGUACUGGAGAGGAGAUUGGAAUUUACGGUGUAGCAGUGAAAUGCGUAGAUAUCGUAAGGAAGACCAGUGGCGAAGGCGAAUCUCUGGACAGUUACUGACACUGAGGCACGAAGGCCAGGGGAGCAAACAGG
rnacentral:rRNA from 1 species